GGUUUCUUUUUAAAGAAAAAGGAUUAAAUUAUUUUAUGAGUAAUUCCAUUAUAAUGGAAUUAAAAUGUCCUAUUAGAAUGGCUUCAUGUUUUAAUAAAUAUUGAGACUAUUUAUUUACAUGAUAAAAAAAUGUGGAAUUGUGUUAUAGAAUGAUUAAGUAUAUGAUUUACUUUAUCAAAUGAGCUUGGGAUUUAAUUGAGAUAUUAAAUUACUAAGCAUGUGUUUAUAAAUGAUUUAUUUAUUUAAGUGAUGAAAAUGUGCGAAGUAUGAGAAAGCAUGAUUUAUAAUGAUUAAAUUUUCAAGGUGAUAAUAUAUGACUUGUUCUUAAUUGAUGGAGUACUUGACUAAAUGACGGGUAUAGAGGGAGGUUAUGGAUUAUGUACAUGUUGAUGUUCGAACAAAUGGGUUCGAACCUAUAUGAUAGUUACAUGAUAAUUGGUUACAUUUUAUUGAUUGAAUGAAACGAGAUUAAUAUGGAUGCUAGAACCCUAAAACUUUAAAAGAUACCCUAGGCACGUAGAAUUAGACUUUGUCUUAUGACAAUUUCUUCACGAACUUAUCGACUCUUCAUCAAUGAAGGUCCAGGCGACAGAAAGUGAAGCCGAAGAAGAAACGACUCCACGCCAGCUUUAAGAACGAUUGAGGUUGAGCUGUGAUGGGCGAUGAAGUGUUGUUGCUGAGUGGAGUUUUUGUCGAACUUAAAGUAGGCUCAGAAAGGAUACAUGUCUUCAUACAUGUAUCUUAGUUAUGCAUUCCGCUGUAAACACUGAUUAUUUCAGUUACGCCUUCCGUUGCAAACUCUGAUAAUGUUUUAGCGAAGCCCCUAACGAUGCCUUUUUCCUUUUAAGGAAUAUAACGCGUAUACAAGUUCUUUGAGUA